rnacentral:lncRNA from 1 species
UGAACUUAAAUUCCAUUUAAAUUAUUCACUUAUUCAUCAACUAUUUCAUUUUAGAAAAUGGACAAAGUAGGAAGUCCAACCUCUAAUUCAAAGUCUGCAGAUGCUCAAAAAAGAAGAAAGAGAUUGUCCCAAUUUGCUAAACAAAAGACAACAAAGAAAGAGGUUUCCAGUUCCAAAGUCAAUAAAAAAUCACUUGAUAUAAAAAGUUCCCCUUCUUUAACACCACUUGCAGAUAUCACUUCAGUUACACUGAACCAGCUAAAUUUUUCCAACCAAUCUCUUCAAAAUAAGACAAAUCCUUCAGUUAAUCAACAAAAUAGAAUAUGUCCAUUGAAUCUAAUACCAAGGAAAUAUGUAUCUGGUGUUAAUCUACUCAACAAGUUUGCCUCAGCAUCAACUGAUGAACCAAAACCAACUGCUGCUCCAACACCUGAUUCUGGAAAAACAACAACUACUGUCUUGACAAAUGUUAAAAGAAAGCUGCCAAGAUCACUUAAUCAGCCUCAACAACAAGUUCCUCGGCCUAAUGCAACUCCAUUGCAGAUAUCUAAGUCUAAUCAAACUCAAACACACUCAAGAAAUCUUGGUAAUCCCCAAUGUCAAUCUUCAAGACCUAUUUGUGCUAAACAACUCAAUCAGUCCAGGCCAAAUGUCAAACCAAUCCCUCAAUCACAAUUGGUUAUAGAAUAUAAUCAUGAAUUUAACAGAAUGUCGUCUAAUGUUAAGUUCUCACGAUCAAGGUAUUUUGAUCCUGGAGCAAGUACUUCAACUAAUCCUCAUACUGGACUCUUAAGUGAGAUAAGAACUGCAGAUGUUUGUGAUUUAUCAACCGCGCCAAAUUAGGAAAAUGCUAAGAGAAAGCAACACUUAUCAAAGGAAAAUAUACCACCAACAUAUUACAAUCCAUUUUCAAUGCCCACAAGGAUUCCUUCUCCUAAUGGUAAAACAUGUAAAGAACCUACAAACACAAAUGGGAAGGGUCAAUCCAAUAGAACCAAAAGGAAAGCCUUUACUACACAUGCUCAAUAUUAUGCUGCAAAUGGCAUACAUGAACCUAAUGCCACAAAUCCUUUAGAUAAUCUUUCAGAGUCAUCAUCAGAUGAAUAUGAAUAUGAUGAUAGUCAACAAUCUGAAUCUGAUGAUAGUGAACAGGAUGAGUCUGAAAAUAUUGAGAAUUAUGCUCAAGGUACGUACCAUCUUAACCUCAACUACUUACUGAUUAUCAAAUAUACAUAUAUACUUAACCUGUAAUUAAUAACCAAUGUCUUUGGCAUUUGCAAUGCCACAAUUUAUUCUGAUAUAGGUGAUUCUGUGUGGGAAUGCCAGAAAUGUGGAGCUUUGAUAUGGUAUCAAGAAAGAAAAGAUAAAUCAAGGAAUACUACGAUACCAAAAUUUCAGUUAUGUUGCGGAGGUGGCAAAGUGCAACUACCUCUGUUAGAACCACCUCCCCAACUGUUGCAAGAUCUUUUAGAUGGAAACCAAUCAGUAGCUAGCAAGAAUUACCAAGCAAAUACCAGGACAUAAAAGGCAAUGUUUUCAUUUACCUCACCUGAAAUGAAAAUGGACAAUGACAUCAACAAUGGAAGAGGUCCCCCAAUAUUAAAAAGGCAAGGACAAACAUGUCACAUAUUUGGAAGUAUGUUGCCUUUACCUGGUGAGAGUCCAAAAUAUGCUCAACUAUACAUAUUUGAUACGGAGAAUGAAAUUUCAAAUAGAAUGAAAACCUACAGGUACAACAUACACAUGUUUAUUACUAAUUUUUAAAAAUUUCAUUGGAGAAUAAAAUUUCAUAUUGCUUAUGAUUAAUAUAAAUUUUGUGGUUAUAUAGAUCAAACAAAGAGAUUGAUGAAGAUAUUGUGAAGAGACUCAAGGUUAUGCCAGACCAGAAUAAUGUCCAUGCACAAGUUUUCCGAAUGGCAAGAGAUAUACUGCAUGAUCGAAACUUCCAAGAUGUCAAAUUGAAACUGAU